CCACGAUGCCAAACCCAACUCAAACUUCACUCGACAAAUUGCAGCUUUUCAUCCUUCCAUUUGGGGGGAUUAUUUCCUUUCCUAUGAUUCUACUUUUCAUGAAGAUGACAGCGACAUCCAACAAGUUACAAAAUUAAAAGAAUAUGUGAGGAAGAUUAUUGUCUCUCCUGUUUUUAAGGAUAUCCUCUUUAAAUUAAACAUCAUCAACUCAGUCCAACGUUUGGGUGUUUCUUAUCAUUUUGAACAUGAAAUCGAUGAGGCAUUGCAUCAAAUUUAUGAGAUUUCAACAAAGGAG
rnacentral:sRNA from 1 species